rnacentral:rRNA from 1 species
GAUGAACGCUAGCGACAGGCCUAACACAUGCAAGUCGAGGGGCAGCACGGUGUAGCAAUACAUGGGUGGCGACCGGCGCACGGGUGAGUAACGCGUAUGCAACCUGCCUACUACAAGGGGAUAACCCGUUGAAAGACGGACUAAUACCCUAUAACACAGGGAAUCCGCAUGGAUAUAUUUGUUAAAGAUUUAUCGGUAGUAGAUGGGCAUGCGUUCCAUUAGCUUGUUGGUGAGGUAACGGCUCACCAAGGCAACGAUGGAUAGGGGAACUGAGAGGUUGACCCCCCACACUGGAACUGAGACACGGUCCAGACUCCUACGGGAGGCAGCAGUGAGGAAUAUUGGUCAAAUGGGACGAGAGUCUGAACCAGCCAAGUCGCGUGAAGGAAGACGGCCCUACGGGUUGUAAACUUCUUUUGUAAGGGAAUAAAUAGUCUUACGCGCUAAGACGUUGCAGGUACCUUACGAAUAAGGAUCGGCUAACCCCGUGCCAGCAGCCGCGGUAAACAUACUCG